UACAGAGGUCCCAAGCGUUGUUCGGAUUCACUGGGCGUAAGGGUGCGUAGGCGGUCGGGUAAGUCUGAUGUGAAUCUCACAGCUUAACUGUGAAACUGCAUUGGAUACUAUUCGGCUAGAGAGUUGGAGGGGGACUGGAAUUCUUGGUGUAGCAGUGAAAUGCGUAGAUACCAAGAGGAACACCGGUGGCGAAGGCGGAUCUCUGGGCCUGUUCUGACGCUGAGGCGCGAAAGCUAGGGAGCGAACAGG
rnacentral:rRNA from 1 species